UUAAAGCCCAGCAUCCAAAAUAAACACUCAAAGGCUCAAAUAAAAAGGGUGCAAUUGUCUGACUGGAUAGCACAGAUGGUUAAAACACUGACUAGUAGUUCAGACGUUGAGAGUUCAAGUCUCAUAAGGUUCAAUUAAUUUUUGGGGCAGCAGUAGAGAUUAGGUUAGGAUAGGGGCAAAGAGCAGCAGUAAGAGGAGGGGAUGUUACUUUCUUGGAACAUGUAGGUGGGGUCUGUGCUUUUGGAGAUUUAAACAUUGGUAACAUUGGUAACUAUUGCUUAAAAUAUCCAGUUAACUUCCUUUUAUACAUACAAAGUUUAAUAAGUUCAGUAUUUCUGUCCAUAUUUUGCUUUUGUCCUUAAAUUCAAAACACAAAGUUUCAGAUUCCUGUUUGUGAUUGGACAGAAAACACGUUAAGUAGCUCGUUUGCGUCUUACAUCAUGACGGGGUCAUGUGUAUACAAUGGAGACGCCUUCACAGGCUCUCCUAAUACUAUGGAUUUUCCCCAUUCAUGACUGUAUAAAACGAUCAAAGCGAGAGACCAGGAGAGGCUACAAGAGGCUUCACUUGAUCUCCAUGAGUCAGCCCAGAGCCAGAGGAUGUCACUGAGAUGUUUCAUGAUUAACAAGUGCUGACACUGCAGAGCAAGAUGAGGUUAAUCUUCAUCUGUGUGCCACAGACAAGAGAUUCUGCCUCAUCAACGAUGGAGAUGAUGUUUCACCAGGCAGGAGCCAUGCUGACUACCUCCACAUCCAUGCACAGCUUCACGUCAUGGAUGCUGAGUAUUGCGACUUUGUGACUUUUUUGUUGAAAGAAUUUUGCCAAAGUUGAGAAUUUUCUUCAGGAACAUUAACUUCCAGAGGCCUUGGGACAGAAGGUAAUAUGUUGACAUGUAAUAUGACAAAGACACACUGGGUGGCGUCAGCUCAGGCUGUAGAUUCAGUCAUACUUGGCAAAUGAAAACAUGACUAACACAAAUGUAUGUCUUUGUUUGGCAAUUGGAUGUCAUUGUGAAGAUUAAAUAAUACAG